rnacentral:misc_RNA from 1 species
GAUGAAGAACGUAGCGAAAUGCGAUACGUAAUGUGAAUUGCAGAAUUCAGUGAAUCAUCGAAUCUUUGAACGCAUAUUGCGCUCUCUGGUAUUCCGGAGAGCAUGCUUGUUUGAGUAUCAGUAAACACCUCAACUUCCAUAUCUUUUUUGAAAUGGGAGUUGGACUUGAGUGAUCCCAACGCUUUUCCUCACCGCAAAGUGGCGGGUUACUUGAAAUGCAGGUGCAGCUGGACUUUUCUCUGAGCUAUAAGCAUAUCUAUUUAGUCUGCCUAAAAAACAGAUUAUUACCUUUGCUGCAGCUAACAUAAAGGAGAUUAGUUCUUGUGCUGACUGAUGCAGGAUUCACAAAGACGGCUUCGGCCGACUUUGUAAACUCGAUCUCAAAUCAAGUAAGACUACCCGCUGAACUUAAGCAUAUCAAUAAGCGGAGGA